UNUUAAAAGUUCGGGGCUUAACCCCGUGAGGGGAUGGAAACUGCUGAUCUAGGGUAUCGGAGAGGAAAGUGGAAUUCCUAGUGUAGCGGUGAAAUGCGUAGAUAUUAGGAAGAACACCAGUGGCGAAGGCGACUUUCUGGACGAAAACUGACGCUGAGGCGCGAAANCCAGGGGAGCGAACGGGAUUAGAUACCCCGGUAGUCCUGGCCGUAAACGAUGGGUACUAGGUGUAGGAGGUAUCGACCCCUUCUGUGCCGGAGUUAACGCAAUAAGUACCCCGCCUGGGGAGUACGACCGCAAGGUUGAAACUCAAAGGAAUUGACGGGGGCCCGCACAAGCGGUGGAGUAUGUGGUUUAAUUCGACGCAACGCGAAGAACCUUACCAGGUCUUGACAUUGAUGGACAGAACCAGAGAUGGUUCCUCUUCUUCGGAAGCCAGAAAACAGGUGGUGCACGGUUGUCGUCAGCUCGUGUCGUGAGAUGUUGGGUUAAGUCCNNNNNNNNGCGCAACCCCUAUCUUAUGUUGCCAGCACGUGAUGGUGGGAACUCAUGAGAGACUGCCGCAGACAAUGCGGAGGAAGGCGGGGAUGACGUCAAAUCAUCAUGCCCCUUAUGACGUGGGCUACACACGUACUACAAUGGGAGUUAAUAGACGGAAGCGAGAUCGCGAGAUGGAGCAAACCCGAGAAACACUCUCUCAGUUCGGAUCGUAGGCUGCAACUCGCCUACGUGAAGUCGGAAUCGCUAGUAAUCGCAGGUCAGCAUACUGCGGUGAAUACGUUCCCGGGCCUUG
rnacentral:rRNA from 1 species